rnacentral:tRNA from 1 species
GGUCUGCUGGUGCAACGGUCAGCACAUCUGACUUUCUAUCAGAAAAUACCAGUUCGAUUCUGGUGCAGACUA